rnacentral:rRNA from 1 species
AUACGGAGGGUGUUAGCGUUGUUCGGAAUUACUGGGCGUAAAGCGCACGUAGGCGGAUUGGAAAGUUGGGGGUGAAAUCCCAGGGCUCAACCCUGGAACUGCCUCCAAAACUAACAGUCUAGAGUUCGAGAGAGGUGAGUGGAAUUCCAAGUGUAGAGGUGAAAUUCGUAGAUAUUUGGAGGAACACCAGUGGCGAAGGCGGCUCACUGGCUCGAUACUGACGCUGAGGUGCGAAAGCGUGGGGAGCAAACAGGAUUAGAAACCCUUGUAGUCC